UUUGCAAAGGUGGAAUGUGUUUAAAGAUGCAGUGCUUCCACUGUCUCAUCGAAGUCCCGACCAGCUGUGGAGGUAUGAAGCCCACCCAGAGGGCCGUGAGGAACUCUCUUCCUCACCUGGAGGAGGAGAAAUACAUUCUAUUCCUGACUUGAUCUCUAAAAUUGUUCCGGAGAGCUUCAUUCUGGGCUGUCAGCUGACUCAAAGCCUGAGCAUGCUCUGUUUUCAUGACCAUAUUCUCGGAUUGUAUUGUGCAGAACCUGAAAACCGCGUAAACACAAAAUACAAGAAACGUACAACAAAACUCAUUCUUCACAUUUCAAAUUUGCUUACAGAUUAAAUUAGUUUUCAGUUUUCAUA